UCGAGCGAGAAGGUUAUGACUGAAUCUUCGGAUGAAGGAUUAACUGGAAAGCGGCGGACGGGUGAGUAACGCGUGGGUAACCUGCCUUGUACAGAGGGAUAGCCACUGGAAACGGUGAUUAAUACCUCAUAAAGCUACAUUAUCGCAUGAUGAAGUAGCCAAAACUCAGGUGGUACAAGAUGGACCCGCGUCUGAUUAGCUAGUUGGUGGGGUAAAGGCCUACCAAGGCGACGAUCAGUAGCCGACCUGAGAGGGUGAUCGGCCACACUGGAACUGAGACACGGUCCAGACUCCUACGGGAGGCAGCAGUGGGGAAUAUUGCACAAUGGGCGAAAGCCUGAUGCAGCAACGCCGCGUGAGCGAAGAAGGCCUUCGGGUCGUAAAGCUCUGUCCUAAGGGAAGAAUAAUGACGGUACCUUAGGAGGAAGCCCCGGCUAACUACGUGCCAGCAGCCGCGGUAAUACGUAGGGGGCGAGCGUUAUCCGGAAUCACUGGGCGUAAAGGGUGCGUAGGCGGCCAAAUAAGCCAGGGGUGAAAGGCUACGGCUCAACCGUAGUAAGCCUUUGGAACUGUAUGGCUUGAGUGCAGGAGAGGAGAGUGGAAUUCCUAGUGUAGCGGUGAAAUGCGUAGAUAUUAGGAGGAACACCAGUGGCGAAGGCGACUCUCUGGACUGCAACUGACGCUGAGGCACGAAAGCGUGGGGAGCGAACAGGAUUAGAUACCCUGGUAGUCCACGCCGUAAACGAUGAGUGCUAGGUGUC
rnacentral:rRNA from 1 species